rnacentral:tRNA from 1 species
GCGCGGUUAGCUCAGCUGGUAGAGCAUUUCCUUGACGUGGAAAGGGUCAGUGGUUCGAGUCCACUACCGCGCA